UUAGUUUACAAAUUUUCCAAUUAUAACUUAAUCCAAUACAAUUUGUAGUUUCAUUUGAUUAAAUUUUCAAUUAAGUAAUUAUUCAUAAAGGGAAAGUUGAAUAUAAAGUCAAUAGUAAAGCUCAAGUCACAACCAGAUGAUCAACUGAUUUGGCUGUUAACAGUUUAACAUUUAACAUUGUUAGUUGUAUUACUGUAAUUAUUACUGUAAUAACUGUGUUAAGUUUAUUUAAUCAAAGAAUGAAAUCAAUUGUGUUAACAAUAUUAAUUAUUAUUUUGAUUGCAACUCAAAAAUUGGUUCACCCAAAGCCUUAUGAGAUGAAACAAAACAAUUGGAGUCGCAAACAAAUUAAAGAUUCUCUUCAUUCAAUCAACAACAAACAAACCAAAAUAAUGCCAUCUAAUAUCAACCAACAAUUGAAGCGCAAUCAAAUUGACCCAUUAAAAGGUUUAGUUGUGGGAUAACAAUGAUAAUCCAUAAUACAUUUUGAUUAACUCUUUAACUCACAAUUUAUUGAAAUAAAUUAAAAUCAUGUAAAUGUCUUAAAAUGUUAAAUGAAUAAACUGAACU